GACGAACGCUGGCGGCGUGCUUAACACAUGCAAGUCGAACGGUGAAGCGCCUUCCUUUUUGGUGGGUGUGGAUGAGUGGCGAACGGGUGAGUAACACGUGAGUAACCUGCCCCCUUCUUCUGGAUAACCGCAUGAAAGUGUGGCUAAUACGGGAUAUUCUGGGUCUGUCGCAUGAUGGGUCUGGGACAGAUAUUGUUUCGGUGGGGGAUGGGCUCGCGGCCUAUCAGCUUGUUGGUGGGGUGAUGGCCUACCAAGGCGGUGACGGGUAGCCGGCCUGGGAGGGUGGACGGUCACACUGGGACGGAGACACGGCCCAGACUCCUACGGGAGGCAGCAGUGGGGAAUAUGGCACGAGGGGCGCAAGCCUGAUGCAGCGACGCCGCGGGAGGGAUGGAGGCCUGCGGGUUGUGAACCUCUUUCGCCAGUGAAGCAGGCCUGCCUCGUUUGUGGGUGGGUUGACGGUAGCUGGAUAAGAAGCGCCGGCUAACUACGUG
rnacentral:rRNA from 1 species